rnacentral:rRNA from 1 species
UCGAGAAUCUUUCGCAAUGGGCGCAAGCCUGACGAAGCGACGCCGUGUGAGCGAAGAAGGCCUUCGGGUUGUAAAGCUCUUUCGCUAGGGAACAAGAGAGAUAGGAUAACACCCUAUUGAUUUGAUGGUACUUGGUAAAGAAGCACCGGCUAACUCCGUGCCAGCAGCUGCGGUAAUACGGAGGGUGCAAGCAUUGAUCGGAAUUACUGGGCGUAAAGGGCGCGUAGGCGGUUCUACAAGUCAGAUGUGAAAUUCCGGGGCUCAACCCCGGAGCUGCAUUUGAAACUGUAAGACUAG